GCUAGUAAUAAUAACAAUGUAACGACCCGAUCCGAACCGACCUACUAGCAAUAAUAAUUCGUUGGGCCUACACCGGCCCAAAAUGCUUGAGCUCAGUUGUUAUUACUAGGGGAAGUUCUCUUAUAUGACAACCCCAUUUCUAUUAGAUGUGGGACUAUCGGGUGUCAAAGACUCCCCCCCGUUUAGGCCCUUACGUCCUCGUCAGCCUAAACACACACAAAGCCCAAGAUCACCAAGCGAUGUGAGACUUGUCUCGCUAGCCUUUGUCAUACCGACCCUGACUUAGCCUGUCAAUCACCGACCCUCACUUAAUCUGUCAUUCCGACUCUGACUCAACAAAGACCCAUCUCACACUUCCGGCUGCUAAAAUGGCUCUGAUACCAAGUGUAACAACCCGACACACUAGCAACAAUAACUCGUU
rnacentral:lncRNA from 1 species